rnacentral:misc_RNA from 1 species
AGCAGCCGCGGUAAUUCCAGCUCCAAUAGCGUAUAUUAAAGUUGCUGCAGUUAAAAGCUCGUAGUUGAAUUUCGGGACUAAUAUGUCGGUCGUGCCUCGGUACGUACUGGUUUAUUGGUUUCUCCUUUCUGAAGAACCAUGAUGUCAUUUAUUUGGUGUCGUGGGGAAUCAGGACUGUUACUUUGAAAAAUUAGAGUGUUUAAAGCAGGCUCACACUUGAAUACAUUAGCAUGGAAUAAUGAAAUAGGACGUUUGAUUCUAUUUUGUUGGUUUCUAGGAUCGACGUAAUGAUUAAUAGGGAUAGUUGGGGGCAUUAGUAUUCAAUUGUCAGAGGUGAAAUUCUUGGAUUUAUUGAAGACUAACUACUGCGAAAGCAUUUGCCAAGGAUGUUUUCAUUAAUCAAGAACGAAAGUUAGGGAUCGAAGACGAUCAGAUACCGUCGUAGUCUUAACCAUAAACUAUGCCGACUAGGGAUCGGAUGAUGUUAAUUUUUAAUGACUCAUUCGGCGCCUUACGGGAA